GAAUGGAGGACCGCACGGAUAAGCGUUGAAAAGCUUCCCGAUGAGUUGAGUGUAGGAGUGAAAGGCCAAUCAAACUUGGAGAUAGCUCGUACUCCCCGAAAGGCAUUUAGGUGCCGCGUGCGAUGUUCUCCGUGAGAGGUAGAGCGACCGAUAGGUCAAGAGGGCUUCACCGCCUAUCGCGACCUGACGAACUCCGAAUGCUCACGGACUGUAGUCGUGCAGUAAGGGGGCGGGUGCUAAGGUCCGUCCCCGAGAGGAGAAGAAUCCUGACCGUCGUCUAAGGUCCCGAAAUUCUGUCUAAGUUAGUCUAACGAAGUCUGGUCCCGGUGACAGCUAGGAUGUUGGCUUGGAAGCAGCCAUUCAUUCAAAGAGUGCGUAACAGCUCACUAGUCGAGGGUCCGGGCAUGGAUAAUAAUCGGGUAUAAGUCAGAUACCGAAGUCGCGGGAUAGCAUUGUAUAUAAAAAGUAUCGGUAGGGGAGCAUUCUAUAUGCGUUGAAUGGUGAUAUUGAUUGAUCCUGGAGCGUAUAGAAACGCAAAUGUAGGUAUAAGUAACGAUAAAGGGGGUAAGAUUCCCCCUCGCCGUAAGACUAAGGUUUCCCAGGCGAUGUCAAUCAGCCUGGGGUUAGUCGGGUCCUAAGUCUCAGCCGAAUGGCGAAAGCGAUGGCUUCACGGUUAAUAUUCCGUGACUUGCUCAUUCAGCGAUGUGGAGACGGAGCAGUGACACUGUCGCGCCCUUACGGAUAUGGGCGUUAAAGAAGUUAGGUGUAGAUAGAUGUAGGCAAAUCCGCAUUUAGAGCUGAUCUUCGAUAGUACAGAGUUUUCUUCGGAGAGCUUUGAUAGUACAGGUAAUCAUACUUCCAAGAAAAUCCGCUAAGCUUAAUGUUUGAGCAACCCGUACCGUAAUCGGACACACGUAGUCGGGUAGAACAUACUAAGGCGUUGAGAGAUUCAUGGUUAAGGAACUAGGCAAAUUGACCCCGUAACUUCGGAAUAAGGGGUCCUCAUAUAAUAUGAGGCGCAGAGAAUAGGUCCAGGCAACUGUUUAACAAAAACACAGGGCUGUGCUAACUCGAAAGAUGAUGUAUACAGCCUGACACCUGCCCGGUGCUGGAAGGUUAAGAGGAGAGCUUAGACAUUAGUCGACGGUUUGAAUUGAAGCCCCAGUAAACGGCGGCCGUAACUAUAACGGUCCUAAGGUAGCGAAAUUCCUUGUCGGGUAAGUUCCGACCUGCACGAAUGGUGUAAUGAUCCGGACGCUGUCUCAAUCAUGAUCUCAGUGAAAUUGUAGUAUCGGUGAAGAUGCCGAUUACCCGCGAUGGGACGAAAAGACCCCGUGAACCUUUACUACAGCUUAGCAUUGACCUUGGUCAUCCGAUGUGUAGGAUAGGCCGGAGGCUUU
rnacentral:rRNA from 1 species